rnacentral:rRNA from 1 species
GAUGAACGCUGGCGGCGUGCCUAAUACAUGCAAGUCGAGCGAACAGACGAGGAGCUUGCUCCUCUGACGUUAGCGGCGGACGGGUGAGUAACACGUGGAUAACCUACCUAUAAGACUGGGAUAACUUCGGGAAACCGGAGCUAAUACCGGAUAAUAUAUUGAACCGCAUGGUUCAAUAGUGAAAGACGGUUUUGCUGUCACUUAUAGAUGGAUCCGCGCCGCAUUAGCUAGUUGGUAAGGUAACGGCUUACCAAGGCAACGAUGCGUAGCCGACCUGAGAGGGUGAUCGGUCACACUGGAACUGAGACACGGUCCAGACUCCUACGGGAGGCAGCAGUAGGGAAUCUUCCGCAAUGGGCGAAAGCCUGACGGAGCAACGCCGCGUGAGUGAUGAAGGUCUUCGGAUCGUAAAACUCUGUUAUUAGGGAAGAACAAAUGUGUAAGUAACUAUGCACGUCUUGACGGUACCUAAUCAGAAAGCCACGGCUAACUACGUA